rnacentral:rRNA from 1 species
GACGAACGCUGGCGGCGUGCUUAACACAUGCAAGUCGAACGGUGAACGAGGGAGCUUGCUCCCUCCGGAUCAGUGGCAAACGGGUGAGUAACACGUGAGCAAUCUGCCCCGAACUCUGGGAUAAGCGUUGGAAACGACGUCUAAUACCGGAUACGACGCGGGAGGGCAUCCUCUCCGCGUGGAAAGAACUUCGGUUCGGGAUGAGCUCGCGGCCUAUCAGCUUGUUGGUGAGGUAACGGCUCACCAAGGCGACGACGGGUAGCCGGCCUGAGAGGGUGACCGGCCACACUGGGACUGAGACACGGCCCAGACUCCUACGGGAGGCAGCAGUGGGGAAUAUUGCACAAUGGGCGCAAGCCUGAUGCAGCAACGCCGCGUGAGGGACGACGGCCUUCGGGUUGUAAACCUCUUUUAGCAGGGAAGAAGCGAAAGUGACGAUACCUGCAGAAAAAGCACCGGCUAACUACGUG